ACGCUCGACACCUACGGGAGGCAGCAGUGGGGAAUAUUGGGCAAUGGGCGCAAGCCUGACCCAGCAACGCCGCGUGAAGGAAGAAGGCUUUCGGGUUGUAAACUUCUUUUAUUAAGGACGAAGCAAUGACGGUACUUAAUGAAUAAGCUCCGGCUAACUACGUGCCACAGCCGCGGUAAUCUGAGCGGGCUGGCAAGGC
rnacentral:rRNA from 1 species